UGCUUCUCUACAAGGCAUUGUGCAACCAGUAUCCCUUCCAAAAAAUCUUGACACUUUUGGUCUAAGAUUCAAGCCUACAGCUGCAGACAUAAGGCAUGCCAGGAAGCUGAGGCAGAGUUCUUGGGCUCUCCCAAAGCCCAUCCCAUGGUUUUCCAAAUCGUUCGUCAAGCCCAGUAAUAGCAAUGGCUCCGUACCAAGGAUUCAAGACCCG
rnacentral:lncRNA from 1 species